CGCACCCACGGCGUUGUCCGGCGAACACUCCAAAUAUCAACGUGUCCUUUUUAAUUGUCUGGCCUAUGCCGAGAUACUGAGACAGGAAAACAACAACAGCCAAAACCCAAAUAAACAAAAAGAACUGUAGCUCAGAAGCCCGCGACUGAUUCUCAAGUGGCUGUCUCUUGGGGCAAAUCUGACCUGAUCAGGUGCCCUUUCAGGCCCAGCCACCAUGGCUGGUACCACCGCGCAAUGCAAAGCUACCGUCAGGCCAGCAGCACUCAGUGCCGCCUUGCGGCUAGCUGUUAUCCUCUCCCUGUGGCUUGGGAGAAAUCCAAAUAUGCACCUCGCCCCCUUCCUAGAGCUCCAGACACUACUCUGGUCGGAAAACCGAGCAAAUGAAGCAGGCAACCAUCGGAGAACUCUGAAUUAUGUCUCACCUUCAGACCUCGGCUCCCAGAAGCUCCUGCCUCUCUGACAGCUGUCGGCUUCGGCAGCCCAGGAGACGAAUUGUCCUCCUUCCUGGUGCCAGAGGACGCAGGAAAUUAGCCAGGUUGUGAGUUGCAAAGCGGC